AUACGGAGGGUGCGAGCGUUACUCGGAAUCACUGGGCGUAAAGCGCGCGCAGGCGGGCUGAUAAGUUGGAUGUGAAAGCCUACGGCUCAACCGUAGAACUGCAUCCAAAACUGUCAGUCUAGAGUCUGGGAGGGGAAGAUGGAAUUAGUUGUGUAGGGGUAAAAUCCGUAGAGAUAACUAGGAAUACCAAAAGCGAAGGCGAUCUUCUGGAACAGUACUGACGCUGAGGCGCGAAAGCGUGGGGAGCAAACAGGAUUAGAUACCCUAGUAGUCC
rnacentral:rRNA from 1 species